rnacentral:rRNA from 1 species
AUUGAACGCUGGCGGUAUGCUUAACACAUGCAAGUCGAACGAUGAGAAAGAGCUUGCUCUUUCGAUUAGUGGCGGACGGGUGCGUAACGCGUAGGAAUCUACCUAUUAGUGGGGGACAACUUAGGGAAACUUAAGCUAAUACCGCAUACGCCCUACGGGGGAAAGAAGGGGAUCGCAAGACCUUUUGCUAAUAGAUGAGCCUGCGUAGGAUUAGCUAGUUGGUGGGGUAAAAGCUCACCAAGGCGACGAUCCUUAACUGGUUUGAGAGAAUGAUCAGUCACACUGGAACUGAGACACGGUCCAGACUCCUACGGGAGGCAGCAGUGGGGAAUAUUGGACAAUGGGCGAAAGCCUGUUCCAGCAAUACCGCGUGUGUGGAGAAGGCCUUAGGGUUGUAAAGCACUUUCAAUUGGAAGGAAAACCUCGAAGCUAAUACCUUCGAGUUUGACAUUACCUUUAGAAGAAGCACCGGCUAACUCCGUGCCAGCCGCCGCGGUAA